rnacentral:rRNA from 1 species
UACGAAGGGUGCAAGCGUUGCUCGGCAUUAUUGGGCGUAAAGGGUAGGUAGGUGGUGACAUUUGUCUGGGGUGAAAUCCCUGAGCUUAACUCAGGAAGUGCCUUGGAAACGGUGUCACUAGAGUGCUGGAGAGGUUCGCAGAAUUCUUGGUGUAGCGGUGAAAUGCGUAGAGAUCAAGAGGAAUACCAGAGGCGAAGGCGGCGAACUGGACAGUUACUGACACUAAACUACGAAAGCGUGGGGAGCAAACAGG